rnacentral:rRNA from 1 species
UACGUAGGGUGCGAGCGUUUGUCCGGAAUUAUUGGGCGUAAAGAGCUUGUAGGCGGUUUGUCGCGUCUGCUGUGAAAAUCCGGGGCUCAACCCCGGACUUGCAGUGGGUACGGGCAGACUAGAGUGUGGUAGGGGAGACUGGAAUUCCUGGUGUAGCGGUGAAAUGCGCAGAUAUCAGGAGGAACACCGAUGGCGAAGGCAGGUCUCUGGGCCACUACUGACGCUG